AUUGAACGCUGGCGGCAUGCUUUACACAUGCAAGUCGAACGGUAACAGGUUAAGCUGACGAGUGGCGAACGGGUGAGUAAUGCAUCGGAACGUGCCCGAUCGUGGGGGAUAACGCAGCGAAAGCUGCGCUAAUACCGCAUACGAUCUGAGGAUGAAAGCGGGGGACCGUAAGGCCUCGCGCGAUCGGAGCGGCCGAUGUCAGAUUAGGUAGUUGGUGGGGUAAAGGCUCACCAAGCCAACGAUCUGUAGCUGGUCUGAGAGGACGACCAGCCACACUGGGACUGAGACACGGCCCAGACUCCUACGGGAGGCAGCAGUGGGGAAUUUUGGACAAUGGGCGAAAGCCUGAUCCAGCAAUGCCGCGUGCAGGAAGAAGGCCUUCGGGUUGUAAACUGCUUUUGUACGGAGCGAAAAGGUUCUCUCUAAUACAGAGGGCUCAUGACGGUACCGUAAGAAUAAGCACCGGCUAACUACGUGCCAGCAGCCGCCGUAACAC
rnacentral:rRNA from 1 species